CGCGGGUCCAAGCCGGUAGUUCCAAAUCGGAUAAUGUGUGCAGCUGGUAACAAGGAAAAGAGAAGCCAGGCACCAGCCCUAUUACAGAAGAAAACAACUCAGGUAGAUA
rnacentral:lncRNA from 1 species